rnacentral:lncRNA from 1 species
AAAAUCACAAAACAAUUACAAAAAGCAUAGGAGGAUGUUAGUUACAAUGAUCAUAAGGUGGUGGUGGACGUCCUGAGAUAAAAGGGCCUCACUCAGCACAAGUCGCGGCGUGAACCACGACGCUGGUAUUAUGUGGACCCUGUUGGGUGAGGCACGAAUGUCGCGUUUCAUAAAUAUGCGUUAAUAUUCGUAAAUAGAUUAAAUAUUACCAAAUUACUUAAAAUAGAAAUUAUAUGUAAGUACAUAAUAUAUAUAUACACACACAUAUACACAUACAUACAUACAUUAUCACAAAAACGUAUAUAUAAAUACUUAAUGUUAGUAUUAUAAAUAGUAAUUAAUGCAGGUAUAAACUAGAAUGCAUAGAACAUAAUAAGUAGGAUUAUAAUAUAUUAUGUAAGUAUGUGUAUUGUGCAGUCUGUUUGUGUUAAUAUCUAUCGCGCGCGCAGCACCCCGAGUCAGCUCGGUCGGCAAAGUACUUCAAUUUCUGCCAGUAUAAUACUUAUGGAAAUGAUAUUUUUCCCAUUCGACCGUCGCGCCUCCGAACAGGCACGACGCAUUCCAAGGAAAAAGAAACGAAAUUAUUAAAAAUUGUAAUAAAAUUGCACAUUAAAUCAAAUAAUAGUGAAUAGUAGUAACACAAAAAUACAUAAUUUAAAUAGGAAGCAACAAAUUUCGUCAAAUGCUGAACACCAUCCACAAAUAUUUAUACAAAACGAAAAACGAAAAAGUGCAACGAGUAUAAGCCACGAGCCGUCAUCGCAUUCAAGGUUAAAUUUAAAACCCGGAAUAAACCUUCCAUGAGACCAUGCAAAAGGAAAGCAAUAAUUAUUAUUAUGACAAUGGUUGCGGUGCCGCAUCCAGCCCGCUGGGAGGACUCCGCCGCGCUAUCGUGUUGAAACCAAUGAGACUACGAAACGGCGGCGGCAAAUCGUUCCAGCACUUGGAUGCGGCGAACCUGAAACUGCCACGAAAAGCGGUGGUGCGGUGACGAGGUACUGCGAGUGAGUAGUACGACGCACGGGUCCUGGCAGCAGUCACGUCGCGGGCCCAAACUAGUUUGUCCGCAAGAUAUGGCGGUAACUUAAAUUUAACUACUCCGAACAUCAGCGUUGCAAAAUGAUACUGUCUGCGAUAUUUCAUUUUUAAGAUUUUAGCCUUGUUUAUGUAAGGUGUAACGUGUGUGCGGGGAGGAAUUUUGAAGCAGAAUCUAGCGCAAGCAUUCUGUACUCUUUGAACCAGUUUUUCUGAGCGCACCAGCAGCCGAGGCCCAUACACAGCGUCCAUAUAAUUUAACUUAGAUAAAACUAAAGAGUCGCAUAGUUUAAUUCGAAUGGGAGUGCUUAAAUAUUCUCGAAUUUGGUACAUUACUUUUAAUCUAUAAAAACAGUUGCUAGCAGUGUUCGUAAUGUGCUUUUCAAAAAGUAACUCCUCGUCCAUUAGCAACCCUAGGUUUCGCGAUUCAGACACUCGCUGUACCACCUCGCCUCGAAUACUAAUGUUCAACCCUUGACGCGUAAUACUCUCUAUCUGUUGUCUAGAACCCAAGACCAUAUACUUCGUUUUAUUUCCGUUAAGCAUUAGGGUGUUCGCUUCUGCCCAAGCUGCUACACGUUCCAAGUCCUCUUCUAGUCGCUUUACUGCCAGACGGGUAUCACAUGGCUUACACGAAGUAUAAACCUGUAUAUCGUCGGCGUAAACGUGAAAUUUGCAAUUUUUUAUUUCUUUCAUCACAUCGGCGCUGUAGAUGAUGAACAGAAGAGGACCCAAUAUUGACCCUUGAGGAACUCCCCUACUAACGGUUUUAGUGACAGACCUAACUGAGGAACCGUCCUCGUUGCAUAGUUCAACAAACUGCGCUCGAUGUUCAAAAUAGCUGCUAAACCAGUUUAUGCUAUCCACGCUAAAUCCGUAGUAAUGUAACUUUGAUAGUAGUAUUGGCACAUUUAUACAAUCAAAAGCUCUGGAGAAGUCUAGUAAUGCUAAUAAAGUCCCUUGGCCAUCGUCACGCGCAGCCAGUAUGUCAUCAACAACCUGCAGCAAGGCAGUUGUGGUGCUGUACCCCUUCCUGAAACCUGAUUGCACGCCCGGUAGUAUGUCAUUGUUUUCUAAGAAUGUUAUAAGCUGUGAGGCAACAGCUUUUUCUAAUAUUUUGGAUAUACAGGGUAGGAUGCUAAUCGGGCGCAAGUCUUUCAGUUCGGUAGCAUUUGAAGUUUUUGGUAUUGGCCUAACCAAUGCUUUCUGCCACAUAGCUGGAUAAGUAUUUGUACGAAUGGAGCAAUUGAUUAUAUCAGUAAUUAUAGGCAGGGUUUCAGGCAGGACAAGCAGAAGCAUGUCAAGCGAAAUACCAUCAACUCCGACAGCUUUUGUUUUAAUGGUGCGGACUAUCUUCAUAAUAUCACUUUCUGAGACCCUGCUUAAAGUAAAUGUGUUGGAUAUACACCGAUGACAUUCAAAGAAAGUUAACUGUGAGAUCUUGAUAUUUAUGUUGCCGGGAACAUUUAAAAAAUAAUUAUUUAUCUCGUCUGGGUCUUUAAAAACAUUUGCCGGAAAUUCUGGUCUAUUUUUUAUUCUAACAUUUUUUUUAAUAUGCUUCCACAGAGUGCGCGAGUCAUUCUCUGUGGAGUUGAUAUAAUAUUCAAAGUAUGACUGCUUUUCCCUAUACAAUGCCUCACUCACUACCUUUUUUAAAUCUUUAUAGAAAGUUUUAUGACUAUCCUGUUUACUAAGUCGUGCUCUAGUAUGUGCCUCGUCUCGCUUUUUCAUCAUUUGCCGUAUGUUGUACGUUAUCCAUGGGUAUUGUUCGUACCUAAUAGCCUUAGUUUUGAGAGGUGCGUGGACAUCGAACAAAGACAAAACCGUAUCAACGUAUAUAGUAACCAUAUCGUUUACACUGGACAGUGAGCUAAUAUAGCUCCAAUUUAAAGAUGACAGGUCCCUAUUAAACAUUUCUAAAUCAAUAUCUUUUAAAUAUCUUCGCGUAACUCGAACGGGCGACGGUUUGUAUUUGGGAAUAUUUAUUAGACAUGUAAUGAAUGCAUGUUUUCCUAGGUCAGGGGCAUGGUCAACACCAACAGAGCUCCCCUUUACAUCCGUGCAGACUACGUCGAUUAGUGUCUCACUGUGGCCUGUGAAAUGUGUUGGUUCAGUAACAAGUUGUUCCAAAUUAAAACACGCAAGAAAAUUAUUAAAUUUCUUAACACUGCCGUCGCGAUCAACGACGUCCAGCAUAUCAAUGUUAAAGUCGCCAAGGAGUGUAGUGUGGUCAGCCCACGAAAACGCAGACAUAGACUCGGAUAGGGCCUCCAAGAAUAGGUCUACUGUCACCCACUGCGGGCGGUACGCGGUGCCUAUAACGAUUUUUUUGGUGUUAAGUGUAACAGUGAGCCACAUCUGUUCAACACACCCAGACGGUGGGUGUGGCAGCACCCGGGCAGAGAGGCCGCGGCGGGUGUAGAAGCCGACGCCGCCACCGCGCUUACGUUUGCCCGGCGGCCGCGGCUCGUGCCGCAGCCGGUAGCCCGGCACGGCGGGGGCGCGCCCCUCAUGCCCCUCCUUCAACCACGUCUCGUUAAUUGCCAUUAUAUCCACGUUGUGCCGAUUCAUGGCCACUAAGAAUUCGUCCUGCCCCGUUCCCAAAGAGCCUGCGUUAAAUAAACCAACCUUUAAUUUUCGUGUUAAAAUCAUUUUAGAUAUAUUAUAAUAACAAUAUGCGAAAACUUAUAAAUAAAUCUCAUGAAAAGUGCGAAAAGAGUUGAUUUUAUCAAUAUAUUUGUUGUGCAGUUUACAUGUAGUGUUGUUGUGUUGUGUACAUUUUGAGUGAAUACAAUAAACGAUAUUAUACAUAUACGAUAUGAUAAUGACGAAUAGAUAACAAUACUUUUUCCUUCAAUCUGCGCGAACGUCCCCACCUGACGACAUGAGUCAUAACGACGUUGUACAAUAAAAACACAGACAGAUGACAAGAAAGAUCGCGUAACAUACACACAAACAAAGAAUAUUAUGCGGUAUAAUAAAUUGAUUAUAAUAGUGGUAUUAAUAGCAAUAAUAAUAACGCUAGUGUGCUGCUUGGGGUUUAUAUUAAACUGAGACGAGUACUUUGCUCUCGACAGCCGCGGGAGCGGGACGAACCCGUGCCGGCCCAAAAACACUGUCGAGAUCCUUUUCGGACCUGAUUCGGUUUACCGGAUCCCCUUGGUCUCGACGGGUGAAAAUUCUACCGUCACGCGUCCACACAAAUCGCCAAUUUAAGCCGCUGGCCAAUUUUCGAGCUCGGCCAAACAGCGAUCGGUUACGCUUUGUGAGGCGCUCGUUAACGUAAAACCGUCGAAACUCGCCGCGCAGUCCCAUCCCCUCAGUGGUGACGGUGCGGCGUACGCGCGCGGCACGUAGCAGCUGGUCGCGCGCGGUGCGGCGGGCGAGGCGCACGGCGAUGUUGCGCGGGCGAGGGGCGCCCUCACUCCCCGCAUGCAGGCCUCCUACUCGCACACAGCUAACUAUGUCGCGCUCGUCGACCGCCACACCCAGCUUCACGGCGCACGCUGUUACGAGGUGGACGACGUUUUCACCGCUUUCCUCCGGGAUUCCAGAGAUCUCGACAUCAUUCAGUAGCAACUCCUGGUCACGAUCAUCGAGAUCCUGUUUUAAUUGGGCGACUGUUGUCUCGAGCAUGCUAACGACGCUUCCGUGGUCAUCAUUUGCGCCGCUGCUUGCACGCCGCUCCAUCUCGUCCACCCUCGCCUCAAGUUUGUUGAGGCGCGCGUCGCAGGAGGACACCAGGGCGCGCAGGUCGAGCAUCUCCUGCCGGAACGCGCGGAACUCCUCUCGGGUUUGUCUCAUUUCCUCUCGGAACUGUCGCAGUUCGACGGACAGGUCAGUUUGCGACUCACGAUACUCCGCGGUAACGUCGAGGGCCGUGUUGUUGAGCGGUGCGGUGCCAGCAGCAACACCCAGCUCGAUGCUGGCCUGUCUGGUGGCAAAUGACUCCGACAUCGAGUCAUCCAGCACAUACGCGGCACUCAUUCCUCGCAAAGGCGUGCCGUUUUCGUUGUUCCUUGGCAGCGCAGCCUUGCAUUUCGGACAUAGCCACGAACUAUGUAUUUGGGCGUCCCUCGGGAUAUUUACGCACGCCCUAUGGUUUGCCUCUUUGCAAUUGGGGCAAAUAACACCUUCCAUGACAGACAUAUAUUUACAACACGCGUUACACUUUGCAGGCAUUGUGAUUUACCGAUCGAUGUUCUGUUAGGUAUUAAGUUCCUUAGGUUGUAUUUUUGUGUAUUUGUAUUAUAAAAUUUGGCCGAGAAGUUUUAUGUUAUUAUAA